rnacentral:lncRNA from 1 species
AAUUUGACUUCAUACCUUAUCAUUGAAAUUUUAAGUCUUUAGACAUAGAAGGUGUUUUCAUUUCUACCAGCUCUAUAAAAUGAAGUUCCUUCUGGAUUAUUAAAAUACUGUGAAAACAUUCCACAGUGGAUUAAGGAUCCGGUGUUGCUGUGAGCUGUGGUGUAGGUUGCAGAUGCGGCUCGGAUCCCGCGUUACUGUGGCUCUGGCAUAGGCCGGCAGCAAUAGCUCUGGUUAGACCCCUAGCCUGGGAAUUUCCAUAUGCCAUGGGAGCAGCUCUAGAAAAGGCAAAAAGAUAAAAAGAAAUAAAUGAAUAAAUAAAUAAAUAACUGCUCUUAGCAUUGACUUUGCUAUUGUACCACCUUAGAUCCUAAGGUAUGUGUCUUUCUGGCUCAUUUCACUCAGUAUGAGAUUCUCUAGUUCCAUCCAUGUUGCUGCAAAUGGCCAGCACAAAUGAACAUCUCCUCAGAAAAGAAAAUCAUGGACUUGGAGAAGAGACUUGUGGCUGCCUGAAGGGAGGGGGAGGGAGUGGGAGGGAUCGGGAGCUUGGGCUUAUCAGACACAACUUAGAAUAGAUUUACAAGGAGAUCCUGCUGAAUAGCAUUGAGAACUUUGUCUAGAUACUCAUGUUGCAACAGAAGAAAGGGUGGGGGAAAAAAUGUAAUUGUAAUGUAUACAUGUAAGGAUAACCUGACCCCCUUGCUGUACAGUGGGAAAAUAAAAAAAUUAUUUAAAAAAAAGGUAUGCGUGUACAUUUUUUUACAUUUUGAGUAUUUUAAAAAUGGUGCAUUAUCAUAUAUGCUUUGUGCAAUUUUUUUGCCAAUCAAUAAUAUAUGUUUCUAAGAUUAUGUCUACUGUUGAUAUAACUGUAGGUCAUUCACUUUUGUAUCUAUGUUGCUCUACAUAGCACCAUAAUAUAAAUUAAAUCUCCUUCUCUUAUGAAUAUAAUCUUGGUUUUGUUGUUAUUUUUGAACUACUUAUUAAAAAUGUUAACUUUCUUUUGGAAUUCUUAAGGGUUUUUUUUGUUGUUUUUUUUACCUAUUACAUUUUUGCUUGAUAUAUUUGGAAAACACAACCUAUUAUAUGUAGGAUUCAUAUCUACUUCAAACAUUUGCAAUUUCAAAUGCUUCAAUUCUAGUAGAUUUCAUACAGAAACAAUUAUAUAUCUAAUAGGUUUAUGAAGUCUUACCUUUAAUAAUAUGGAACAUGUAAAACUGUUGACACGUAUAAUAUGACAUGGUUAAUUACACUUAAGAUUUAAAAAUAAAACUUCUAUCAGGAUAGAUGUAGAGAUCAAAUGAUUUUCAUUGUGAACAUAAAGAAAUUUUUCUGAAUAGAUAUUAUUGAUUUAUAUUUCUAUUGGUGCAUUGAACACAUUCAGACUAAUGCUAAGAAAAAAAUAAAUAAAUUCAAGAAGAGGAAGACUUUGUUAACAUUUUAACUCAUUUUAAGGGUAACUGUCUCCCAUUUUAAAAUAAAAUUACUACUUUUUUUUCCCAGCCAACUAUUCAUAAGCCACUCUACUGGACAAUUUCUUUAUAUGUGAGACCACAUUUAAUCCAUUUAUCUCCCAGAGAUGAAGUUAUUAUAUUGAGUCUAGAGACUCCAGAUUUACACCUCCAAUGAGUAGCUUAUUAGGGGAUAGAAAUGGGACUGAAAUGCAUGUUGACCUCAUUCUAAAAUAAUGUUUUUACCUAAUGUUAAAAGGAGAAAACUGGAUAUACUAUCCUGAAGCACAGUGCCCUCUCUCUUCUCUAUUACUGCAAGGUUUCUCAAAAGAACUACACACACACACACACACACAUUAGAUGGCAAAUAGAUAUACAUGCCUGUGUGUGUAUGUAUGGCAACUAUACAAUAGAAAAUCAGUAGGCAGGACUUCUAAGAUAUUCAAAGGGAAAUUAUUAUAUAUGUGAAUUAACCAUUAAGCAGAGUUUCAAAGUAUGUAUUUUUCUUUUAAUAUUAGCCUUUAAACAAGAUGGGCAUUUUAAAUAUCUCCUAAUUAUUUCCAACUACUAAAGGAUUCAUAGUUUACUGAUGUAUGUCAAAAUAAUUAGCUGUCACAAAGGAUAAAACCUUGUAUUAUUCCAUAAAAAGGUAAAACAUCCCUCACCCAUGAACUGCCUUGAUUAUGUUGAUUCAAUACAGGCCAGACUGUUCCAUUCAACCAAGAAUUUGUCUCUUGGAGCUCACGUUGUAGCUUAGGGGUAACAAACCCGACUAGUAUUCAUGAGGCUAGUAUCCAUGAAGAUGCAGUUUCUAUCAGUGGGUUAAGGAUCCAUUGCUGUGAUGUAGGUCACAGACAUGGCUUGGAUCCUGUGUUGCUGUGGCCGUGAAGUAGGCCAGCAGCUCCAAUUCGAUCCUUAGCCUGAGAAUUUCCAUAUGCUGUGAGUGAAGCCCUUAAAAAAAAUUGUCUCUUGUAACUACCAGAAUGAUGGACUUAGUGUUCUGUUUCAUCUUGCUAUUCUUCUGAGAUUAACCAUGUGAAAUAAAGUAAGCCUGGCAUGACAGAAUAAUUCAACAAUUAAGGAAAAGUAUCAUUACCUUAUAAAUAACUAAAUGAGUAUGAACAAAAGGAAAGCAAAAUGAAUCUUGCUUCUUAUUUCAUUACUUGCUUCAGAUUCAAGGUCAGUUUAUCACAUACUCAAUGUCUUCUCAAUAUAAUAAGCAAGAAUUGCAUAGAAUAAAACUAUCAAUGUCAUGCAGAAGAUUCAAGAAAAGUGCCAAAUGAGGGAAUACUGUGAAUUAAAUGAUCAAAUAGAAAUUAACCAGAAUAUUAUAUUUUUUCCAAUAUAUAUUGUUCCUCAUGAGAUGACAGGUAAUAUAUUCUCAUAUCAAUACUUGUGCAUUACAAUUAGUGUUAGCUAAAAGCACUUGUCACUUAUGAUCUACUACGUUAUAUCUGGCAUUUCAGGAUGCCAGCUCCUUGGGGAUUACACACAAAAUAAUAUCCUUAUUAACAGAGUUAUAAGUAUUUGAAUGCUGUGCCAACAUUUAACUCAUGUCUGCCAAUCGAAAUGGGAAAAUGUUCUUUAUUGAUUGGAGAAAGGAUCUUGUUUGAAGAUAAUUGACUCUGAGUCUUUCAUUGGCAUAAUACCACCUCUGCAAAAAACAUAUGCUCAACUUGGAAAACAAAGGUUAGAAAUAAGAGGCUGAUCACUUUCUUCUUACUCAAGCACAGCGCCUAUUGACUUGAGUGAAAAUUCUGUCUGCCUGUGAAUCAAAGGAUUAUAGAUCAUCUAGUUGACUUUAAAAGCAAAAAAUAUUCUUCAGUUAAGAAGCUUACCUAGAAGCAGGGCAUAAGGAAUAUACAGAGAUAGUGAGUCAUCUCAUGGAAAUGGGGGAGUUGGGUGGGGUGGCUAAGGGGAAAAAAAAGUUAUUUAAAAAAAACCCGACAUAUUCAUGCAACUAAGCAUUUUACUAUAUUGAAACAAUCACUGCCAAAAAGGUUGGUACAAAGGAAAUGUUCAGUCUUAUAAAUGUUAAGUUUGAGAUGCCAAUGAAACAUCCAAGUAAAGGUGCCAAGUGACAGAAAAUAAGAAAAUAAUUACUCGGUGUUGAGGUAGAAAGUGAAAAUAAACACACAAACCACCCACAGAGCUACAGAAUAGAAGUCUAGAGAUGAGGGCACUGAAGCAGUGAACGUCAUGAAAAUCAGAUGGAUGGACAAGCAACAAACACUGUGGGAAGUGAGAUCCACUAAAAAUCUAGUGAGUGUGAUGACCCAGAAGCUGAGGGAAGAAAUGCAUCUAGGAGAAAGGAGUAAUGUACUAUUUAAAAUGCUGGAGCAAGUCAAAUAAAGGGAAAAUUGAACCAGUCUUACAGUUUCCCAAUGUGAUGUUAAUAAAAAUAGAUUUGAAGAAAAGAUGGGUAUAAAUUUAUGAUUUUAUAGGGCUCAAAGGGAAUGGGAUAUGAACAAUGAUAGAAAUUAGAGACAGUCAAAACUCUGAUGGAGCUUUCCUACAAAGUGGAACAAGAAAUGGUUGGUCAAAUGGGGAAGGGCUUAAUGAGAGGUGUUUUAUGCUAAUGGGAAUGAGCCACAGUGGGGUGAUAUUGAUGAAGCAGGAGAGAGGAGGUGGAUGCUAAAGCAAAGUCCUUCAUUAGGUGAGAGACAAGAGAAACUAGUUCACAGGUGAAGUGUCAGGCCUCACUAGGGAACACAGGCAAUGCUUUAUAGCCAUGAGAGGGAUGGAAGAGCAUGUGAGUCAUGUCCAAGAAUGUAGGAAAUUCAAAGUAUGUGGAUUGGACACACAAUUUGCAUUGAAUCAGGUUACAGUGAGGACAAUAGACAAUGAUUACAAAGAUACUAAUAGGAAGUAGUACAUUUUUACAGGUGGUACAAAUCAGCUAGGUUUAAGACAUGCUGUUUAAUGGGUCCCCCUGUGCCCAUCACUCCUGCCUAUGAAAGCCAGAACUGCCAGGGCUCUGACCAUUUUCAAAAAGCUGUGAUUCUUAACUUCACAUAGUUCUUAAACCAGAACCCACACAGAGCAAACUGUCCCCAGUCACACAUGAAGUUACAAAGAAUCCCAGCCCUUGGGAGUAAAUAUUGCUACUUUUCCCUAAAUAAGCAAUUAGCAGAAGCAAAUUUUAAAAGAGAAAAGCAUCACCCUAAUUUUAACAAUCUUAAGACAAUAAAACAUUACAAAAAGCAAAAUUACCAUCAUUAAAAAAUAAAGUGUUGUAUAUGCUUUCAAUUAAAUACUAAAUAAAAAUAUUAUAUUUAAAAAAAAUUUUAAUGGUAAAAACAUGACAAUGCUCCCAUGUUGUGGACCUGAGGUGCUUUGGGGACAUUUGGCAGGGGUACCCUGCUGUGCCCAUACACCUUGAUGCACAGGUUCAAAGACGGCAGAAGUCACCCUGCUCCUGAGGGCUCUUGCUUACUCCAAGGGCCCUGCUGUAUCUGAUGAGGCUACUGACCUUGGCUCACUUUCCUCUACCAUCACCUCCAGCUGGUAACACCCAGGAGAGCUGCUAGAGGUAAGGACAUUCCUCUUUCUUCUGGGCUCCUGGAAUACCUGGCCAGGGUGUGGUUGUCCUCGCAUUAAGCCCAACAACUUUCCAUCUCUCUGUCCUGAAGCUGCCAAGACCUCCUCAUGUUUACUACAAUGUCCUUGUGGGCCACACAACUGCAUUCUCUGUGCCACCUCUCCUAAAUACAAAGCCAAAAGGCACUUCCCCAGAAUGUAAUCACUCUUCCU